rnacentral:rRNA from 1 species
GACGUAGGGCGCGAGCGUUGUCCGGAUUUAUUGGGCGUAAAGAGCUCGUAGGCGGCUUGUCGCGUCGACUGUGAAAACCCGUGGCUCAACCAUGUGGUCUGCAGUCGAUACGGGCAGGCUAGAAUUCGGUAGGGGAGACUGGAAUUCCUGGUGUAGCGGUGAAAUGCGCAGAUAUCAGGAGGAACACCGGUGGCGAAGGCGGGUCUCUGGGCCUGUUCUGACGCUGGAGGAGCGAAAGCGUGGGGAGCGAACAGG